rnacentral:rRNA from 1 species
CCAAUAGCGUAUAUUAAAGUUGUUGCAGUUAAAAAGCUCGUAGUUGAAUUUCGGGAUUGACGUGAUGGUCGUGCCUUAAGGGGUAUGAACUGUCGCCGUUGAUUUCUCACCUUCUGGAGAAGCUCGAUGUCCUUAAUUGGAUGUCUUGUGGAACCAGGACCUUUACCUUGAAAAAAUUAGAGUGUUUAAAGCAGGCAUUUUGCUCGAAUACAUUAGCAUGGAAUAAUAGAAUAGGACGGCAUGGUUCUAUUUUGUUGGUUUCUAGGAUCACCGUAAUGAUUAAUAGGGAUAGUUGGGGGCAUUAGUAUUCAAUUGUCAGAGGUGAAAUUCUUGGAUUUAUUGAAGACUAACUACUGCGAAAGCAUUUGCCAAGGAUGUUUUCAUUAAUCAAGAACGAAAGUUAGGGGAUCGAAGACGAUCAGAUACCGUCGUAGUCUUAACCAUAAACUAUGCCGACUAGGAAUCAGACGAUGUUAAUUUUUUAAUGACUCGUUUGGCACCUUACG